rnacentral:lncRNA from 1 species
CAAAGCAAAAGAGGGCCACAUAACUCGAUGGGAAAAGGGAAGUCAUGGUCGAUUCUUCCGAUUCAUUCACGCAUCGUUCUUACAAGGUUGCUUCUCGUGCUACGUUUCCGUCGUCUUUCUAUCGCGCUUGAGCCUUGCUUUGUUUUAAUUGCUGCAGGGUUUAUUGUUUACAGGGAUUGUUCACUUCUUGGGGACGAAGUAAAGGCUUGUAUGACAUCAAAAGAGAGAAGUUUAGACCCUUUGGUCCACGAGAAACCAUAGGAGGUCUAAUCCUUCACCAUGUCAAAGCUUUGUCAUCAACACUGCUGUUGCUGCUACCUGUCAAGCUGUUCAUCUCAUCUUGAAUUAAGCCCUUUAAUUCUCUGGCUCCACUCACACCUCAUUAUGUCCUAGGGUGUUAGCAAGAUCAUGAUAUCAGUCCUAGGAUGUAGGAUGUGGCUUGCUUGAACUACAAUGCUAGUCAUUUUUAGGAAUCAGCUAAUCUGCUUUCCUGUAAACUACGAGCAGGAGAUGGAAAAGUGAAAGCUUUAGCUGAUUCUUCUAAUACAUUGCUUGUUCAUGAGUUGGAAUCUCGUGCUUCAUGGCACGGGUGCCAUUGGCUCUUGUGGCAGAUUGGCCCCAGUGGAAUCUAUCUUGGUUGGGCAGGUGAUCUUUUGGGAAUGCUAAUUCUCCUUCUAGAGAGAUGAGUUAUCACCCAGUGGUAAGUUGACUGUUCUAAUAUAA